UGUUUCGGCUAGGGGGUCAUCCCGACUUACCAACCCGAUGCAAACUACGAAUACCGAAGAAUGUUAUCACGGGAGACACACGGCGGGUGCUAACGUCCGUCGUGAAGAGGGAAACAACCCAGACCGCCAGCUAAGGUCCCAAAGUCAUGGUUAAGUGGGAAACGAUGUGGGAAGGCACAGACAGCCAGGAUGUUGGCUUAGAAGCAGCCAUCAUUUAAAGAAAGCGUAAUAGCUCACUGGUCGAGUCGGCCUGCGCGGAAGAUGUAACGGGGCUAAACCAUGCACCGAAGCUGCGGCAGCGACACUAUGUGUUGUUGGGUAGGGGAGCGUUCUGUAAGCCUGCGAAGGUGUGCUGUGAGGCAUGCUGGAGGUAUCAGAAGUGCGAAUGCUGACAUAAGUAACGAUAAAGCGGGUGAAAAGCCCGCUCGCCGGAAGACCAAGGGUUCCUGUCCAACGUUAAUCGGGGCAGGGUGAGUCGACCCCUAAGGCGAGGCCGAAAGGCGUAGUCGAUGGGAAACAGGUUAAUAUUCCUGUACUUGGU
rnacentral:rRNA from 1 species